AAAUGAUGACAGGCUAUCUAUCUGCAAAAGGGGUUAAAGCUUCUGAGGGCAGAGUGGGCAAAGUGUUGAGACGUAUUCAUCAACCCUACCACAUUGCAAGACAGCAGGGUGCCCGAAAUCUGAACCCCAUACCCUACAAUGCACAAUACAUGGGGCACAAGCUACAUGUAGAUCAGAAUGAAAAGCUUGUUAUGUUUGGAGUGACCCAUGUAAUGGCUAUCGAUGGUUUCAGCAAGAAGAUUGUCAGUCACUCCACUAUGCCAAUAAAGAACAACAUCAUAAUUUAUGAGGAAGUGUACAGACCUGCUGUACUUUCCUAUGGACUAUGGGAUCAGGUCAGAGUUGACUGUGGGAAAGAGUUUUAUCUGGCAUUAUUCAUACAGGAAAAGCUGGCAGAACACAGACACAAUACUCAAAGGCAGCCUUACAUUCAGACUCCUUCUACAAG